GACGAACGCUGGCGGCGUGCUUAACACAUGCAAGUCGAACGGAAAGGCCUCUUUCGGGGGGUACUCGAGUGGCGAACGGGUGAGUAACACGUGAGUAACCUGCCCUUGACUUUGGGAUAACUUCAGGAAACUGGGGCUAAUACCGGAUAGGAGCUCCUGCUGCAUGGUGGGGGUUGGAAAGUUUCGGCGGUUGGGGAUGGACUCGCGGCUUAUCAGCUUGUUGGUGGGGUAGUGGCUUACCAAGGCUUUGACGGGUAGCCGGCCUGAGAGGGUGACCGGCCACAUUGGGACUGAGAUACGGCCCAGACUCCUACGGGAGGCAGCAGUGGGGAAUAUUGCACAAUGGGUGGAAACCUGAUGCAGCAACGCCGUGUGCGGGAUGACGGCCUUCGGGUUGGAAACCGCUUUCGCUCAUGACGAAGCUUUGUGUGACGGUAGUGGGUAAAGAAGCACCGGCUAACUACGUG
rnacentral:rRNA from 1 species